AGUUGCUGGUUUCUGAAAUUUAUUUCAACGAGAGACUUUGAGCUUGAAAAGCGAAAAUUUUGGAAUUUCAGGGCAGUCUUAGUUAUCACUUUUUCCAACCAAUUGCAGUUUA
ensembl:ncRNA C33F10.17 ncRNA